UGUUGUGUUUACAUGCUUCGUGAUGUAGUCUCAACCAAAAAUGUGUUUAGUUCUUUAGUGUCGUCCUAACGUACUACAUGAAAUUUUAGUGAGUUCAUCUGUUAGAUAAGUUGUGCUUGAAAUGUUUCAUCAUAAGAAAAGGGGAGUUUUGAGAGAAGGAGUGAACUGCAUACCAGUUAACCAGCGGCUUUGUGCUUAGGUUCAGCAUGUACCACCUUAUUAUAAAUUUUGGAUGUGUUUUGAAGCUACUAAAGCAAUAAUUCAAAAUUUGUUGAUCAAAUUAUUUUGACAUACUGCUGCCAAUAUUAAAAUUAAGAUGCUACAGACACUAAAUAAAAAAUAACUGCAAUUUAAAAAUUCAGUGUAUUUUAACUGAGAAUACCGUUUGAAAUUUCUGCGUAAUCCGCAUGUCACCACAACAAUUUCAAUUUUGAAAGAUAAAAUAUGCAAACUUGUUUCUGACUUGCUCCCUUGGAUCGCAUUGGUACACUCUACACUCUCAUGACUCGCAUUUAAAGCAUUGGUACAUGAUAUU